rnacentral:rRNA from 1 species
AUUGAACGCUGGCGGCAUGCUUUACACAUGCAAGUCGAACGGUAACAGGUUAAGCUGACGAGUGGCGAACGGGUGAGUAAUGCAUCGGAACGUGCCCGGUCGUGGGGGAUAACGCAGCGAAAGUUGCGCUAAUACCGCAUACGAUCUGAGGAUGAAAGCGGGGGACCGUAAGGCCUCGCGCGAUCGGAGCGGCCGAUGUCAGAUUAGGUAGUUGGUGGGGUAAAGGCUCACCAAGCCAACGAUCUGUAGCUGGUCUGAGAGGACGACCAGCCACACGGGGACUGAGACACGGCCCAGACUCCUACGGGAGGCAGAAGUGGGGAAUUUUGGACAAUGGGCGAAAGCCUGAUCCAGCAAUGCCGCGUGCAGGAAGAAGGCCUUCGGGUUGUAAACUGCUUUUGUACGGAGCGAAAAGGUCUCCUCUAAUACAGGGGGCUCAUGACGGUACCGUAAGAAUAAGCACCGGCUAACUACGUGCCAGCCGCCGCCGUAA